AUAGACUCCGCCCGUGCUGGUUCACUGAUCUCCUAUUCAGUGAGCAAAAGGGAACCCGGUGCGAAUCCGGGGCUGCCCCGCAGCGGUAAGCGAGAACGACUCCACGAUUACGCACUGGCCUUCCGGCCGGGAAGCGGUGGAGAGUAGGAAUCCGGCGACAGCCGAAGCGCUCGCAAGCCCGAAGACCUGCCAGCACCCGGUGACGGAG
rnacentral:ncRNA from 1 species